CCUACGGGACGCAGCAGUGGGGAAUAUUGCACAAUGGGGGAAACCCUGAUGCAGCGACGCCGCGUGAGUGAAGAAGUAUUUCGGUAUGUAAAGCACUAUCAGCAGGGAAGAAAAUGACGGUACCUGAUUAAGAAGCCCCGGCUAACUACGUGCCAGCAGCCGCGGUAAUACGUAGGGGGCAAGCGUUAUCCGGAUUGACGGGGAGUAAAGGGAGCGUAGACGGUGAUGCAAGUCAGACGUGAAAGACCGGGGAUCAAAUCCGGGACUGCUUUUGAAACUGUGUGACUGGAGUGCAGGAGAGGUAAGCGGAAUUCCUGGUGUAGCGGUGAAAUGCGUAGAUAUCAGGAGGAACACCAGUGGCGAAGGCGGCUUACUGGACUGUAACUGACGUUGAGGCUCGAAGGUGCGGGUGUCAAACAGGAUUAGAUACCCUUGUAGUC
rnacentral:rRNA from 1 species